GGUUAGUUUGACAAGCUGAAAGAGAUGUUGUGGGGCAAAUAGGGAAAUUAUUACUUGGGCCGUGCAUUCGAUGGUAAUAUGUUAGUUUUUAUUUCCUAUUGCAGUUAUGGAAACCACGUCCCCCCCCCCGCCCCUUUUAACAAUUGCAUACUCUAGCACGGAUCGUGAGACAGCACGUUUGUCUUUUAUUAAACUAUUUAAACCAAUAUUGGAACUGUUUUGACUUUGUUAAAUUAACAUUUCUAAUGUAUAUCCUCGGUGUGUGCAAUGGUGAACUAUUGUCAACAAAGUACGCAAGGAAACGUGAAAUAGAAAAAGUUAUUACAGGCACGUCUUAGAGGAACUCUUCGCAUGCCUCAAGGUGCCACAACAGGAGGUCAAGGCAAAGUGCAUGCAGAGAGUGUGGCAGGGCCUGGAGCACAUGCCGUUAUCAUAGUCAGUCCUUAAAGUGCUUUAGAUAUAGGGACUAAGGCUGGAUUGGUCAAUUCAGACCACAGAAAGUGGGGUUUUGGUAUCUCUGCAGGAGGUACUCAAGGAGCGCUCAAGGGAAAGAUCUGGAAAGGAGGGGAGCUGUUGCUCACAAGGGCUGCUGAGAAAGUCCUAUCAAGAACCUGCAUUUGUCGGAGUUGUCUUGGCGCAGUGGAAAUGAAUCCAACUAGGAACCAUGAGGUUGCAUGUUCGGUCCCUGGCCUUGCUCACUGGGUAAAGGAUCUGGCUUUGCCUUGUGAGCUGUGGUGUAGGUCGCAGACACGGCUCAGAUCCUGUGUUGCUGUGGCUGUUGCAGAGGCCAGCAGCUGUAGUUCCAAUUGGACCCAUAGCUUGGGAACUUCCACAUGCCACGGGUGCGGCCCUUAAAAAAGCAAAAAAAAAAACAAAAACAAAAAAACCCCUACAUUUGUUUGUGACUCUGCAGACUAUUCUCCAGGUUAUGUGCUUGCAGGAAGGGCUAGUGUCAGUUCUAAGUUCUAGCAGGCCCCUUGGCAACAAUUAUAUGGAGUCGUUUAAAUUCUUUGACAGUGAUUCUCUUUGUACCCAUUAAAAAUAUGCUAGUUCUUAUCCAUUAAAUUUCUAAAUCAGUAGGUGAUCGUUCACUGUUGGAAAACCUGCUCUAGUUUAUAUACAAGAAUAAAAUAGGUAAGUCAUUGGGUGCGUGCAUGCCCAAAUUGUGAAAAUUUAUACUUUGUACAGUGUCUGGUAAUGACUUGUCUAGAAAUUCCAAAACUUUAAUCGUUCAUAAAUCUCCUUAUAUAUUUGCUUAUUUAUUUUUCUGAGAGGUGGGGUCUUCCCUGGUUUCUGCCACACUGAGCAGGGAGGUCGACACAGGUUUCUCAGAACUCCUGCUGCCACUGCUGCACCUCUACAAACUGGAAUAGACCUGGCUGGUGUCUGCGGAUCCCUUUCUGUUUACCCUACUUGCAGUUCACUGGGUUCCUGGAUAUUUUGCUGCCAGCCACUACCUUGAAAUUUUAAAAAGAGAGGGGACUUCACAUGGGGUCCGAAUGUCUCUGAACACUGCUAAGAACAAACUACAAACUACAGCAGACCCUUGGUGCCCCUGGACAUCCCUCAGCUCAGUUAAAGCUGUGGAGGACGGCUGCUCUCAUGUGCACAGAGCCUCAGCCUAAGUCCCCACCUUGUCUCUCAUUAUUCAGCUUUGGGAAUUUUUCUAAGGGUAAAGGAGCUCACUGACCCCAUUUACAGGGAGUUCAGGGGAUUACUGGCUGAUUGUCAAGCCACAGAUAAAGGUCACAGCUUCCUGUGCCUCAGUGGUCAGUUGAGAUUCACAUGACCCAGCCCCUUACAGAGUACCCAAUGGGAUAGAUGUCAGCUUGUUCACCGCUGUCACCAGCUCAGCAGCACACACUUUAGUGGCUUCUCCUCCUCUCUUGUAUCCUUUUUCCCACUCCCUCAUUCUUGCUUUUUGAAAUCAUUUCCCAAAUAACUACUUGCACAAGCUUGUGUCUCGUCUGUGUUUGGGAAGAAUACAAAAUGAAGACAACAGGAAAAACAAGCAAGACAACACUACCCCUGCUCUGAUCAAGUCAAAGUCAAGUAUAAGGGCUCCAGCCAAAAACUAACAUCUACCUUAACCCCUCAACCAGAAUUAAGGAGUUGGCAGGUCCCCAAACUAGCAAUACUAACACAAUCACCCAGCAGAAUCAGUAUCACCACCAGGAGAGUCAGUAGUACUUAUGUUGUAUUUUCCAGAAGAUCUGAUUGGUCCAUUGAUAGCUACCACUUAUGCUUGAUGGAAACUGAAUCAGAUACAGGAUUUUAGCUGCAAGGGAGUCUGAUUUCCUAUUGCUGCUGUAAGAAAUUACCGUUAACUCAAUAGCUUAAAAGAACAAAAGUGUAUUCUCUCACUUGAGGAGGACAGAAGUCCAAGAUCAGUGUCAAAGUAUUGAUGGGUCUUUCUUCCCUCCAGAAACCUUAGGGGAUAAUCUGUUCCUGGCCUUUUCCUGCCUCUGGUCGCUCUGGCAUUCCUUGGCUUGUGGUAACAUCACUCCAUCCCCUGCCUUCUGGACACAUGGCCAUGUCUUCUGUGGAUUAAUGGAGCCCCAAGAAGUAAGAAGGCAGACAAGCCCCUCACACAGAUGAUGAGAGUCCCAGUAGGAAGCCGCCCUCACCCUCAGAGGGUCUGAGCCCUGACACAGGUGAUGGCACAUCCUUCAGCGACCAUAUACCCAUGCAGUGUUUGCCAGGAAUCGAAGAAAUUCUCACAUACUGAAGUAUGGGGAAGCCAUUCUGGCUUAUACAUGGUUUGGUCUGAACUAGAGCAACCUGCCAUACACACAUAAUACUUAAGCAAAAGAAUGCAUUACCCAGAACUAAAGAAUGUCCACUCUAAAUACAGGGAUAAAUGCCUCCCUUCCUUUGAUAUCCAUGCUGGUACCCCUUUGAUGAUAAGACUUCCUUCCCAGAUGCCAAGGACAUGCUGACUUGUAUAUGUGCUCAUCUGUCUUUUGAAAGCUUGAAGGAAUGUAUCCAUCAUGUUUGUACUCAGCAUGUUUGGUGUAUAUUCUUUGUUGUGACAAUAUAUAAAACCAUGUUGCAAA